AGGAGACUUAACAUCUGUAGGCCCAAUGCCACCAAAGAGUGAUCCUAGAGAAUAGUGCCAUGGCCACCGGAUCGCUUUUAUUAGGGAUGAGUACUGGUGUCGGGCUCUGUGCUGAGCACUUUGCAUGCAUCAUCCCCUUGCACUGUCACAGGGACCCCUCUCAGAGGAGGCACUGUUACCGUCUCCGCUUUACCCACAGGGAGACCACCCCACUCCCCAGAGGCCUCUGCUCAAAAUUCUUUUCCCUUUUUUCAUGUGGUCUUUGGCUUUCUCAGUCCUCUGUGCCUAAACCAUGUGGAUAGAGGCCGCAUCCUGCGUUUGUCUGAGUGGGUCAUCUUGGAAGGGGUGAUCCGCCUUGGCUGUGCUUCAUGCCCUGUGGGUCUCAGGAUAGCGUUGACAGAGAAAGACUCACUUUUCAGCUUAUUUCCGGUCUCAAGGAGAGCCGGCCACCUCUGGCCUUGGUUAUCACUAACUCUGGCCUUGGUUAUCACUAACUCGCAUGGCCCAGCCCUACAAGCAAACAUCUGCAGGCCACUGUCAGUUCCUGGUGGGUGGGAACAGCCCCUGAAAUAGCUCCUUGAGGAAGGUCAAGCAAACAGCACAGGCAAGAGGAAUCAUAAAAUCCUACAAGAUCUGGGGCAAAGAAGACGUCGGAUAUCAACGGCAGGAGUGGUAAAUAUAUAGCAAGGGAAAGGGCCACUGCUCUCCUUCCCAUCCUCAUAGCAGACAUUGCUAAUGCAUCCCAGCUCUCUCCCUCCUGCCAGCCCUCAAAACCCUCAACAUGGCUCUGCAGGCAGCUUCUACGAAUGGAUCAGAAUUAGGGUAUGCGUUGAAAGCUGCUUGCAGUCCCUUCCAGUCGAAUGUUUGAUUUUGUGGGAGCAAGGAACAGGGACCCAGAGAGGGGACGUCAGCUAUAAAGGCAGUUAGGAAGUCAGUUCCCAGCAGCUCUUCUCUGGCUUCCCUGCCCAGGAUUCUUUGCAUCCACACCCGUGGGGCUGGGGAGGCCCAGGAACAGUGAGUCAGGGACUUCUGUAUUGUGCUGGGCCUCUGCUCUCACCCCUGCCUCCCACCCCCAUAGCCUGUCACUGACGCUGCUCUGCAGACAGGAUAAAUGGUGUCCCUUGGACGGCUGCAGAAGAGUGAAAUCUCUUUGUUACUUUAAAAUAGUUUAUUCCUAAAUGGGGAUCGAGUGGGGCAGCCUGCACCCACAACAUGUUACAAUGCAGGGCCUAGAUUCUAGAAGCAACUGGAAGGUUUCGCUUUGGAAAUGCUAGGGUCAGCAGACACUCCCCAUGCCAGCCUUUCCCACCUUGCUCUCACUUGCUGGACCACAGGAAAUGCCUACAUCAAAGGCAACCAGGACUCAAUAGGCUGAAGGUAUGGACUGCUUGCCUCCACAGCGGCUGCCAGCUGUCACCCUGUCCUCAGACUUUUCAGCUAGGCGUGAUUUCUCCUUGGGAGGAAUAACAGGGUUUUGUGAAAGGAAGAAGGAGUCUCCAAGUUCAGAAGUCCCCUCCAGAGCCCCUUUCCUGCUGGUGGCUUCCUAGCCUCUGGUCUUCAACGUUUCUCAGCCUGGGGUGCCCCAGAGGAUUCCGAGGCUCGCCACCUUGAUCUUCUCAGUGUCCGAUGGGCUGAAACAAGCCCUUUCCACAGAAGCGGCCUCUCCACAGGAAAGCUGAGGACCAGGGCUGGUUUGGAGAAUCAGAGAGCUAGUCGGAAACACAGCACAUCUUGGCGGGGGGCAGUCACGGUACGCUGAGUCCUGCGAGUCCUGUCACCAUCUCGUUUAGCAAGGUACCUGCUGGGUCUCUAGGGCACCUGCUGGUGGAACGGAUAAGAGUUCUGUGUCACUUGCAUCUCAGCUGUGGGGUUGCUCCUGGGGGUUUCUGUGAUUUUUGAGGAGGCUUGAAAACACUUUGUUUAAACAUGCCUUCUGCAAUCUUUUUUACACCAAGAAUUUGUAAGGCAUAGGGAAGAAAAUGUUGCUAACUGAAACAUCCUGUAGGCCAGCACAGCCUCUUGAAAAGAUCACAAAUACUGAAUUAGUGAGGUCCCAAAUAAUGAGGAUUUUACAGGCCCAAAUGAUGCCCCUUGAAGGGGUUUGUUGACCAACCCCUUGGGUGGGGUGCAGGUGAGGAGAGGGAAGGUGGGGAAUGGGAUGGAGGCUCUUGGUGCGCCAUCUUGGAUUCUACUUAGGGAUAAACGGGCCAGCUGAGGUAUGUAUGAAUUGCCCCUGAAGACACUAAUGAAAAGAGGGAUCAUGUGGCACUGGGAGUCACACACAAACUUGGGGACCAAGCAGAUAUUCACCAGCUACAUGACCUUGGCGGGGGUUAGAUCAUCUCUCUGUGCUCCACUCUCUGUAAAAUAGGGAUAAUGAUAACACCUACCUCGUAACUGGUUGUGAGGGUUAAAGGAGCUAAUGCACUGAGAGCAGGGACUGGUAGGGCCGGCCUGGUGGUGCGGUGGUUAAGUCCACAUGUUCCGCUUCUCAGCAGCCUGGGGUUUGCCAGUUCGGAUCCCGGGUGCGGACAUGGCACAGCAUGGCAAAAGCCAAACUGUGGUAGGUGUCCCUCAUAUACAGUAGAGGGAGAUGGGCAGGGAUGUUAGCUCAGGGCCAGUCUUCCUCAGCAAAAAGAGGAGGAUUGGCAGUAGUUAGCUCAGGGCUAAUCUUCCUUAAAAAAAAAAAGAACAGGGACUGGCAUAUAAGAUAGAGAAAACCUCAUCUCCCAAACUGAUGAAUGGAUAAACAAAAUGUGGUAUAUCCAUACAAUGGAAAAUUAUCACUCCUACAAAGAAACGCAGGACUGAUAUGUGCCACCACGUGGCUGAACCUGGGGGACAUUAUGCAAAGUGAAAGAAUCCAGACACAGGGGCUGGCCCCGUGGCUGAGUGGUUAAGUUCAUGCACUCCGCUGCAGGCGGCCCAGUGUUUCGUUGGUUUGAAUCCUGGGCGCGGACAUGGCACUGCUCAUCAAACCACGCUGAGGCAGCGUCCCUCAUGCCACAACCAGAAGGACCACAACAAAGAAUAUACAACUAUGUACUGGGGGGCUUUGGGGAGAAAAAGGAAGAAAAAAAUAAAAUCUUUAAAACCUCUUCCUUAAAAAAAAAAAAUAAGCCAGACACAAAAGGCCACAUAUUAUACCAUUUCAUUUAUAUGAAAUGUCUAGAACAGGCAAAUCUAUAAAGAUAGAGAGUAGAUUAACGAUUGCUUAGGGCUGGUGGGGGAUAGAGGAACAGAGACGUGAUGGUUAAAAGGGUACAUGUGGUUCCUUCCUCUGUCUGGGGCUGGAGAUACUGGGUUGACUAGCAUUCCCCAUCCCCACCCCAAGUUCAUGUCUGCCAGAACCUGUGAAUGUGGCCUUACUUGGAAAUAGGGUCUGUGGAGAUAUAUUCAAGUUAAAUUCAUACUGGGUUAGAGUGCCCCUAAUCCAAUGACUGGUGUCCCUAUAAGAAGGAAAUUUGGAAAUAGAGACACACAGAGACAGAGGGAGGAGAAUGCAAUGCGAAGACGGAGGCAAAGAUUGGAGUUACAGCUUUCUGAGCCAAGGAAGGCCAAGGAUUUUAGGCGCCCAACAGCAGCGGGAGAGAGGUUGGAGCAGAUGCUCCCUCGGGGCCUCCAAAGGGACCUCCCCCUCCCCACCACCGACGACACCACAGUCUAGGACUUCUAGCCUCCUAAACAGCGAGGGAAUACAUUCUUCUUGUUUCAAGCCACCCAGUUUGUGGUCCUUUGUUACGGUAGCCCUAGGAAAUUCAUGCAGGGCCUGAGGUUUCUGCUCCCCCGUGUGUCAGCGCCAUUUUGAUGAAGCGAGGGAGGGAGAAAGCUGCCAUGGGGGCACCGGUCACCUUCAUGCACCAUCCAGGCUCAGGAGACUGCUGUGGGAACCUCCGCCUCUCCCUGGCCCAUGACCUUUAGCACUGAACUAGACUAGACUGAACUAAGGAAGGCUGCUGGAAGCAGGGUUUCCUCAUGUAAUUUUUACUAUGAUUAACAUUAAAAAAUACAAUUUACAUUGCAACCAAGUACACACAUCCACAAAACGAGUUUCAGGAAACAAUACUUGUUCUUACUUACAUUUUGAUAUUUUCUAUUCUGUAUUUUUUAAAUGUCGAUUGCUACCCACUAGAUUGAUGUAUGACCCCCUAAUUGAUUAUAACCUACAGUGUGAAAAACACUAAGUCGGAGGAAAAGUGAGACUAGUAAGAUUCGGCCUCUUUAAGCAUAUUCUUUUCCACAUUUUUAGACCUCAGGGAGAUAGUCUUACCAUCAGCAAGCUUAUUCAUUCAUCAAACAUUUAUUAGCAUCUACUGUGGCUUUGAAAGGGUUGGGGGCUGGGAGACAGCAGAGAUGCCAAGAUAAUAAGAUGCUUAUAGAGCCACUCUCAUAUGCUAGGCAUUGUGCUAAGCACAUUAUAUGGAUUUCCUCAGUUAAGAAAAUUAAUGCUGGGGCCGGGCCAGUGACGCAGAUGUUAAGCUUGCACGUUUCGCUUCUCGGUGGCCUGGGGUUUGCCGGUUCGGAUCCCGGGUGCGGACAUGGCACUGCUUGGCAAACCAUGCUGUGGCAGGAGUCCCACAUAUAAAGUAGAGGAAGAUGGGCACAGAUGUUAACUCAGGGCCAGGCUUCCUCAGCAAAAAGAGGAGGAUUGGCAGUAGUUAGUUCAGGGCUAAUAUUCCUCAAAAGAAAAGAACAGAAAAGAAAAUUAACGCUCAGAUCAGGAGCCCAAAGUCAGACAUUUAAGAAAACAGUAAGAUCAGGAUUUGAACUCAAGGCAGCUCAACCCAAGAGUCCAUGAGCCUAACCACAUGGCUCUCCAGGAACAUAAGGAUAGACAGAGGGAGACUCAUUUGUGAAAGUCUGAAUAAAUACAGCGAAAUUCCACUUCUCUUCCUGGCAGCAACUACUGUUAACCAUCUGUAGAGUGUCUAUUCAGACCUUUCCCCACGUGUUUGCAUUGUGGGUACAAUCAGAAGUACAAUCUUCGUUUGUGUUUGUGCUUAUAGGAGGGUAAACUUGUCAGCUGUCGUUGGUAGAUGUGUCUCUGAAGAUUUUCACGUUAGUGCAUAGAGCACGGUCCAGUCUUCCUCACCCCUGCCUGCCUGUUCUCCUUCCUCCUACUUCUGGAUAUUGAGUUCAUCUCUAAUUUUUCAUUAUUACAAUGAAUAUUUUUGUCUAUAUAUCUUUGUGCACAUGCGUGACAAUUUCUCCAGAGUGGAUUACUAGAAGUGAGAGCACUGAGUGGGAGAGCAGGUGCUUUGUCGUAAAUACUGCCACUCCUCCUCCAAGGAACCUGUGCAACUUACAUUUUCACCAUCAGUGCACAAGAGCAUGUUUCCCUGCAGCCUCACUGCCAAGGAUAUCAUCAAUUAUUUCAACUUAUGUUAGUCUGAUGGGUGCAAAACGCGUCUCUUUGUUGAUUUAUGUUCCCUUUGACAACGUGAAGCUGAGGACUGCAUACAUGGGAUCUGUCACAUACCCCAAAAUCCAAAUGCCAAGUAUGUUCCUGUGCCUGGUCUCCAAGACCCCAGGGUGUGGAGAGGGAGGAAUUGCCCCCUUGGGCUUCCAUUGUGGGACGGGGGACCUGCCUCCCUCCAUGACAACUUGCAACGGUGAAAGGCUGCUGUGUCCUGGAAGGUCAGCUAGGGUCAGGAGGAACGGAGUUGGGGUGCUGUGCAGGAUGAACAAUGACAAGUGGCCACAACCAACCUUCACGCGUUCCCUGCCUUUUUCUCCUCUGUGAGUCAGUGGAUAAGCCCUUUGCCCAUUUUCCUCUGAGACUGUUUGUCUUUUGUCUUGUUGAUUUGUAGACAGACAUAUCCUGCAUGCUCCCUUUCCCAGAUUCCUCUGCCAUUAGGGCAGCUGAAUUUCUGGGGGAGUAGCAAGACGACCACUCUUCCUUUUGGCUUCUUUCCAGAAAAGUACAGCCUUCCCAGAUAUGGGUGGCUUCUAUCAGGGUUGCUGCCAGUCAUGCAGGACCUCUGUGCAGGUUAGAAAAAGAGGACCCUUUCCCAAGACAUGUUACUUCUGUCAGUUGGGAAAGUAUUAUACUGAUUUUAUUAGAAUAGACACUUUAUUGCAAUCCAGAGAAAUGGAAUAAACAUGCAGAUCUACCAUGUCCAAGAUGUGAUUGGGACCCCUUUGGUAGGGAUGCCCUGAUGCAGUGCACAAUCUGCCCCACUGUGUGGGCUGACCCUGCUCCUAAGUUCCGGACAGCCUCUUCAUGGUACACAGUCCCUGUGUGCAUCCUCUGGAUGAGGCCUGGUGUGAGUAACUAGGCUCAAGUCCUCGCAUCUCCACCGCCAUCUUGCUGGACCUCAGAUUUGUCACAGUAUCUUUUGCAAUACCCAUGGUAUCUGUUCUGUCUUUCUCUCGAAUGAGGCUUAAAGGACACAUGGCCUGUGGGAAGCUUUUGAAGAGUCACACGGUACCUUGGUACCUUGGUACCUUGCAGAGUUGUUGUUAAUACUCUGGAAGCACAUUAAAGUUGACAUGAUCUAACCGCAUUCACCAAAUUUUCUUUGCAGGCUGCUGGUUCUGUGCGCCUUUGGCCACUGGUCAGGAGUGCACCAUGCCCGGGCUGUGGCUGCCCUCGGAGGGGACACCCCAAGGGGCACACCCAGGAUUUCUUGGCAUCAGUGGUGGUGUAUCUCAUGCCAUCUGGACUUGCUUUGCACAGUCACGAGGUGCUUCUGCGCCCAGCCAAGUUUCUGUACUCCAUGCAUUUGGAGGGCCAGACACCGAGUGGCCUCUCCCAGGAGCUGUCCUCUUCUUCCUCCCUCCUCGGCCUCAGCACUGCGGCUGGGCUGAGGGGCUCUGAAGCGGCCUGCAGUGAGGAGGGAUGGAGGUGAAAGCUCGCUGACCUCUGGCACCAGCACCCCUGGCAAGAGUGAAAUACACAGUCCAGGGAUCCCGGGGCUCCGGGCCUGGCUGAGAUUCUUCUGUGGAUUCCUGAGCAUUUUUGCAAUUUCUGAGUCUCAUGAAAUGGUGUAGUUACUCCAAACAAGGUCAGUUGGGCUGAUGGACACUCCACAUUCCUUUGUAGUGAUCUGGAAUGACAUCAGCUGGACAUGGUGACACCGAUUCUCUCAUGGUGGCCAGAAGCUGCCCAAAUGGCAGGACUGCAGCUAGAACUGACUUUUUCAAAUAGGAAAGCGAUUAGUACACAAUAAAUGCAUUUGCUUGGUAGACAGACAAAUUGCACAAUGUAGAACCGUAGGAAGGAGCCAAAUAAUGGAAAGAAUUCUUGGGGGAGAAAAGCUUUUACUUUAGUUAAUAAAUACCUUUGAAC
rnacentral:lncRNA from 1 species